UGGAAGUAAAAGUCGUAACAAGGUCUCCGUUGGUGAACCAGCGGAGGGAUCAUUACCGAGUUUACAACUCCCAAACCCCUGUGAACAUACCAAUUGUUGCCUCGGCGGAUCAGCCCGCUCCCGGUAAAACGGGACGGCCCGCCAGAGGACCCCUAAACUCUGUUUCUAUAUGUAACUUCUGAGUAAAACCAUAAAUAAAUCAAAACUUUCAACAACGGAUCUCUUGGUUCUGGCAUCGAUGAAGAACGCAGCAAAAUGCGAUAAGUAAUGUGAAUUGCAGAAUUCAGUGAAUCAUCGAAUCUUUGAACGCACAUUGCGCCCGCCAGUAUUCUGGCGGGCAUGCCUGUUCGAGCGUCAUUUCAACCCUCAAGCCCUCGGGUUUGGUGUUGGGGAUCGGCGAGCCCUUGCGGCAAGCCGGCCCCGAAAUCUAGUGGCGGUCUCGCUGCAGCUUCCAUUGCGUAGUAGUAAAACCCUCGCAACUGGUACGCGGCGCGGCCAAGCCGUUAAACCCCCAACUUCUGAAUGUUGACCUCGGAUCAGGUAGGAAUACCCGCUGAACUUAAGCAUAUCAAUAAGCGGAGG
rnacentral:rRNA from 3 species